AUCUGGCCUCAAAUCAGGUAGGACUACCCGCUGAACUUAAGCAUAUCAAUAAGCG
rnacentral:rRNA from 1 species